rnacentral:misc_RNA from 1 species
AGCAGCCGCGGUAAUUCCAGCUCCAAUAGCGUAUAUUAAAGUUGUUGCAGUUAAAAAGCUCGUAGUUGAAUUUCGGGAUUAAUAUGUUGGUCGUGCCUUGGUACGUACUGGCAUUAUUGAUUCCUACCUUCUGAAGAACCUCGAUGUCAUUAAUUUGGUGUCUUGGGGAAUCAGGACCGUUACUUUGAAAAAAUUAGAGUGUUUAAAGCAGGCUCGCGCUUGAAUACAUUAGCAUGGAAUAAUGAAAUAGGACGUUUGAUUCUAUUUUGUUGGUUUCUAGGAUCGACGUAAUGAUUAAUAGGGAUAGUUGGGGGCAUUAGUAUUCAAUUGUCAGAGGUGAAAUUCUUGGAUUUAUUGAAGACUGACUACUGCGAAAGCAUUUGCCAAGGAUGUUUUCAUUAAUCAAGAACGAAAGUUAGGGGAUCGAAGACGAUCAGAUACCGUCGUAGUCUUAACCAUAAACUAUGCCGACUAGGGAUCGGAUGAUGUUAAUUUUUAAUGAC